rnacentral:lncRNA from 1 species
UUGCGCAUGCAGGGGGACGGGGUAGAGCAGGUUGGUAGCUUGUCGGGCCACCGACCCUAGGGGGUCUCGCAAGAAGUACUCGCGGCGGCGACACAAACAAGGUAAAUGUACAUACUUCUAGAAAAAAAUGCGAAACAUACAUGCCUUUUCCCAGAGAAGACUCCCCUGUGGCUUAGUAAGGCAGAAACCGCCACUUCAGUGCCAGGAGAAAAACUCAACAAUCGGUAACGAACAGAGGACAACCAAGUUGCAGUGGAUUCAGGCACUCCGGCAGGAUUAGCGUCGCAUUACCGCCAGCACACGGCGUUUGUUAACACGAGGUUAUGGAAAAAGGCUUGGUGAGUCCAACAACUUUCGCUGGGGGCUGCCAACAUAGAAAGUGGCUGGAUAAAGGACCUUUCAAGCCGUCGCGCGUCCUACCUAACCUAUCGUCAAUCACGGGAUGGCUGCGCAGAUGCACAGAUACUGUCAACAGACGAUGUUAACUUUUGACUGCAGUUUUAACUUUACUUCAUGUGAUAAGUCUUGCCUUUUUUUGCGGUCGAAGUACGGUCCGAAGUUUUCCUUCUUCAGUCGGUCGCCGUAGUCGAUGUACCCGCUUAUUUCCUGGCCGCGCUUAUUAACGUCUCGAAUGAAUAUGAUAGUUGAGAGUUUGCCGUUCUUCACAAGAUCCUCUCUCGCGGCCAGGUGUCGGAGUACAACGCUGCCGCUCAAAUCCUUGCCGCUGCUGCACAGAGGUUUCUGGGGACUGUGGUUUGUCGCGCGCCGAGCCACUUCGAGCUGCUCUUUCCCUGCGUAGAAUGCUUCCCUAGACAGCACUGUUCCUGCAAGUCCAGGGGCAGCGUAGAAUGUGUGUCUGAGCACUGUUCGUUCCUCAGUGGGGACGAGAGGAUUAAAGAGAGGUGGCUGCAGCAAACGCGGGAUUUGAUUGCUAGUGUCUUUGUGGGGGCAAGGAUAUUCACAACAAAAACAAUGUCAGGACUGCAACCGCCCUGCUUCUUGAGGCAGCCAGUCACAGCGUUCUCUCAAUGCUGCGAAGCAACUUUGUGUGAGUAUUCACAAAAGAGGCACGGAGAAUUGCUUCGCUGAGAGCAGAGUUGUGCAUCAGAACAGGGACUCACAUGCCGGUUAAAGCUUGUGUAUGUAUAAAUAUCCACGUCUGCAUUCCUACUCUACAUGUGGUGUGCAACUAUAUCGCGAUACAACCAAUAUAUCGAGAUGCAGAUGCAUAAAAAUGUUUCCUCCGUAGACGUUCUGUAGUGUGGUUUCGCAGUGAAAAGGUUUUCAGGCUCGGGUGCCGGUACCUCGCAAAGAGCCUAUCUCGACAAGUUGACGUGCCAGCUGUUCCUGAAAAGUGGCAGACGCAGCUCAUGAAAGAGGUUCUUUCAUUUUUUCACACGUGGCACACCUUUUAAACAGAACUACGGAUUUUAAAUAUACAGCGACACUCUAGUGCGUAUACCUCUGUUAAGGAAUAAUCCUUCUGCAAGAUGGAAGCGUUCCUUCAGUCCGAGCUGGUAAAAGUGGAUACAAGCGAAUGGAGAAGCGUUCAGCUUUGAGCUUUACUGAACAAGGAAUUUCAUGGGGAAAUGGCAUUCUCUCGUCAUCCCUACAUAUUAUACGUAUUUGUACGGCUUUGACUCGAAUGAAUCGUUGCUUUAUGGAUUUCGCCGGCAAUAGCCUAAAACCAGGAUUCCGUGCUGUCUGAGACUACCCACCUUGAUGUUCAAGGCUGUUUUUGUGCCAGAAAGAUUGGUUCCUAUGAGUCUUGUUUGUACUAGCAAGCGCUCAUCGCGUUCACAUUCCAUCUGUCCUCUCUUUCUAUCCGCUUCAGCGCUGAGGCAGAUUUGCCAUUCCACUUUCCGUUCCCAGCUGCCACCAAACCUGGGCAACUCAGCUGGUUUGGUUUUGAUCACUGCAACUUGUGAUUUGUCAGCCAAGUGAGGCCCUACGAAUGGAACGACGCGGUCUUACUUCUUCCAGAUAAAACCGAUCCGUGUCGGUGAUGUGCGAGUCCAGGUAAUCUUCGUAUGUUUCAAACUUCAUCAGCGUCUCCUCCAUCAUGUUUCGUCACCAAUGGUUCUGUGAAGAAUUCUAACGCAAGCGCCCGAAAGAGUCCGUCGGAAAAUGAUGUACCCUUUCGAGUACCUAUUUCAUUCGGACUGCUUCUGAACUGUCACGUCUCGAGGUUUUCACUAAGCCAGAGUAUGACUCUCAGAAAGUUAUACUUACUCGGCCACGCCACAUACAAAGAAUCCCAUAGGUAUUUAACGUUUGCUGUGAGUCGCAGCAGAAAUGAGGCUGGAAGACUCGGUGAACCUAUCAGAGUAGGAACUUCGGACGCUGCCAGUGCCUAUGAUCUGCCUAGUUUCAAAAGCGAUGGACUACCACCGAAGAUGAGAUGUAUACUGUUUUCCAUCUAAAUUCGAUGGACGAUGGACCUUGUUUGUGUUACGUCAGAACCCAACAAAAACUAGUCGUGAUGUAUUUAAGUAUUUCGUUUUUCUCCGCAAUGAACCUUUGCAGUGCGUGCUUUUGCCGUCCCCGAUAAGCUCGUAGACUUCGGAUGAGCGGGAAAGUGACAGCCCAUGUUGAUUGCUGUUUUCCCGCCAAGUCUAUCUAGUCGUCGGUGUCGCGCUGGACACUCUCCGACUCUUCUCCCCCACGCGCGUAAACGCGCCGGGGCUGUGUGGCAAACCAAACUAGCAGU